rnacentral:ncRNA from 2 species
GACUAAGCUCAUAAUAUUUCUGGAAGUUACAGUGGGCAUAUCCAAGCCGCUAAAUAUGUGAGCUGUUAACGCCUUAAAGCCUUUUGAGUCAAGU